UUUUGCGAAUAAUUAAAUGUAAAACCUAGAAUGAUGUCUUAUUCAUUUGUGUUCUUGUUGUGCCUCUUUUGUACCUUUUACACAAGUUACAGUGCUGACGAAAAGUUGUAUCUAAUAAGACAUCAGCCAUCACGAUUAGUUUUGGGACUAGACGAAAACGAUCUAGUACAACUCCAACUUUUUAAUGGUGACACAUCACAGUUCUGGACAUUGGAAUGUGCCACACCACCAACGGUUUUUGUUGUCAAUAAGAACAACGGCGAAGUCCUUGACAUAAACUCCGGUGCGGAGGCAGGAAGAAAUAUCAGUUCGUAUACAAAAUAUGGAGGUACAAAUCAAAGGUGGUACGUUAAUUUUGACGCUACUAUAGUCAGUGCAGAAACAGCUUUAGUUCUCGGCAGCGAGGAUGGUACAUAUAAAGCAGGAAAAACUAUAAUUGCAUGGACCAACAAUGGAACAGCCCAUCAUCAGUUUGUGCUGGAGACCUAUAGCCCUCCUAUAUCUAAUGAAAUUUAAAUUACAUUUAAAAUAUACGUGCAUGUUUUAAAGUACUGUUUUUGGUUAAUUUAAAUUCACCCGCUAGCUCCAUAGUACUGGCUUUUUCAUAUUGUUACGUUGAUCGGUGAAUAAAAUCGACGUGGGUAAAAUUCAAUAAUUUGUUUCUUAAUAACUCGAAUUAUACGACUGAGUACACAGCGAUUAUGUACAAAAUAAUCCCGGCGCAAUUUGACUGGAUAGGCUGAAUAAUAAUCGUUCCCGACGGUAUGGAACGCCCUUCGGCCACAUCACGGAUGAUGAUGACUCACCCAUACCUCAGAAAGCUCUCGACGGCCCAAUAUCAACAAUAUCUACAGUUCGUAACAAUAUUAUUUACAGUUAGGAAUGAAACAGUAAUUAUGGUAUAUAUAAUAGGAAAUUUUCUCUAACAGAAAUCAAACUAGCAUAAAAUUGACGACUUCUGCGAUAGUACUUAUCUUAUCUUCUGCAUAAAAGCUCUUCUCUUGCCCUCCACACCUUGAUUACUCAGUACUGCAAGCCGCCAUCAUGAGCCACUGCCACCACGAUCACGAUCACGACAAGUACGCCGUUAUUAGAAACCAAACGAGUGGCUUGGUUUUAGAUGCUAGCGAACAUGUGUUAAAAAUCCAGCACUUCACCGGAUUUGCGGCACAACUGUGGAAAUUUGAAAAUGCAGCGCCCGGAACAUUCUAUAUUGUGAAUAAAGGAAAUGGAAAAGUAAUAGACAUAGAAGGGGGGAUCAAGAGCGGUAACAACGUGAUCACGUUUUGCAAAAAUGGUGGGGUUACUCAGCAGUGGUUUGUGAAUUCAGAUGACACCAUCGUCAGUGCCGAAGGAAAUUUGGCGAUUGACAUCUUUGAAGGAAAGUACCCACCAGGGAAUAAGCUAAUAGCACAUACGAGACAUGGGGCAAUUAACCAGCAGUUCCAUUUUCAAUAUCAAUAGUUUUUCAAAGUGCAGAUGAAUAAUUGAGGAAAGUUUUUUCAAAUAAAACAUUUAUUAUAAGAAAUCAGUACAUUUUAAUACGAAAAAUAAAAUAAUUUACAUAAA